AAUAAUUUAUCUCUACUCACAUUCUCUUUGUCGUCUCUUGUCGUCUCGGAUACGCUCGAGGCCACCGAUAUGCGAAACCGCCGACGUUACGGUUCUAAGGCGAUUAAGUAAUUGCUGUUAAUUAUGGUAUUCAAUCCAAGCAUCCUACUACUUGCUCUUCAAUUCAUAUACUACAGGCGUGUUCUUUUGGUAGACGCCGAAUGCUGCGGCUGUGUCCAAAAAAAUAAAGCACGGAGGCACAAAAAAUUAAAAACGGUGACGCCAUUAAUCUCAGCGUCUCUUACGGAGACACAAAAAGUGAAGCGCCGGUGACGCUAUUAAUUCCUGCGUCUCUUUCACCCAUCAUUGAUUGCCGCUGCGUCUGGAAAAUAAAUUUUGGAUUGCUGUCGUGGGUUUGGUGUUGAUGUCAUCAUGACUUCAUAGUCUUGCAGAAAUGGUAAUGAGCGGCGCAACGAAGCACUAGAAAAGCUGGAGAAGAAGUAUGAUCUGGUCGUUAACAUUCAAGGAGAUGAACCACUCAUUGAGCCUGAGAUUAUUGACGGUGUUGUCAAAGCACUUCAGGUAGCACCUGAUGCAGUGUUUAGCACAGCGGCGACAUCAUUAAAACCAGAAGACCGAGAUGAUCCUAACCAAGUCUAAUGUGUGGUGGACAACUGUGCCUACACUAUCUAUUUCUCCAGGGGUUUGAUUCCUUAUAACAAGGUUUGGGUUCAACGUGCUCACCGUCAGACCCGCAACGGCAUGAGAAAUAUGUUUAAGAUCGAGAUAGGAAAGUAGCUUUCCUCUCAGUCUCAGCUACAACAUCUAACUGGAUGGAGCUUAUUGUUUCACAUUUUCUCUAUCUCAUGCCAUUCGCGAAGGAUGGUAGCACAUGCGAUGGAGUUAUGGACAGCUGUAAGCGAUGAAGGAGAAGUUCUUGCACAUGAGGAGCAGCAAAAUUUGGGUGGAAUCAACAUGGAAGAUCUCCAUAGACUUGACUAUGCUCAAGUCUUUCUUCUAAUGCUCUGACUCUGAAGAUCUCAGGAAUGAUAACUAGAAACAUGGGGGAAAGGGUCGGGGAGUUUUUGGCUUCAGCAAGUCUGGGAUUAGUGCUGCUCAAAGUGAUUGCUCAACAGCUUCUUCAUUCUGUUGGAAAGCCAUUGUCUCAUAAAAUUCUCAUGGUCUAUAUAUAUUCUCCAAGCCAUAUUUGAAACAUAUUUCAUUAUGUACAUCCCUUUUCAUACUUUGACAUUGUCUAAUGGAAAGGCCUGGUGGAGCUGUUGGGUUCGGAAUCACAGAUAUCUGGUGGUCUUGAUUUUCUACAUAAAUAUUAAUCAUUUAUAUCUUCUGUUUUCUUUGCUAA